rnacentral:rRNA from 1 species
AGUGAACGCUGGCGGCAGGCCUAACACAUGCAAGUCGAACGGCAGCACAGUAAGAGCUUGCUCUUACGGGUGGCGAGUGGCGGACGGGUGAGGAAUACAUCGGAAUCUACUUUUUCGUGGGGGAUAACGUAGGGAAACUUACGCUAAUACCGCAUACGACCUACGGGUGAAAGCAGGGGAUCUUCGGACCUUGCGCGAUUGAAUGAGCCGAUGUCGGAUUAGCUAGUUGGCGGGGUAAAGGCCCACCAAGGCGACGAUCCGUAGCUGGUCUGAGAGGAUGAUCAGCCACACUGGAACUGAGACACGGUCCAGACUCCUACGGGAGGCAGCAGUGGGGAAUAUUGGACAAUGGGCGAAAGCCUGAUCCAGCCAUACCGCGUGGGUGAAGAAGGCCUUCGGGUUGUAAAGCUCUUUUGUUGGGAAAGAAAAGCAGCAGGUUAAUACCCCGCUGUUCUGACGGUACCUAAAGAAUAAGCACCGGCUAACUUCGUG